CCGUUAAGAGGCCAGUGUUGAUCAGUGGCUGUCCAGGCCUUUCAGAGCCACUGACACGCCGGCAGCACAAUCAUCAUGUCUCUGACUCUACUGCUGGCCACCCUGGGGCUCCUUGUUCAGGGUUCAUCAGGAGACAUCAUCCUGACUCAGUCUCCUGGAUCUCAGUCUGUUGUUCUGGGACAGACUGUCUCUAUCAGAUGUAAAGCCAGUUCAAGUGUUACUUACGACCUCCAAUGGUACCUUCAGAGAUCUGGAGAAGCUCCCAAGCUUCUUAUUUAUGAUGAUACAACACGUUAUUCAGGCGUUUCAGAUCGUUUCAGUGGAAGUGGAUCUGGGACUGACUUCACUCUGACCAUCAGUAGAGUUCAGGCUGAAGAUGCAGGAGUUUACUACUGUCAGCAGGGUAACAGCUUCCCGUUCACACAGUGAUACAACGUCGUACAAAAAC